UUUGGCUUGUUACGGGUGGUUGGAUGUCUGCUUGCGCAGGAACGUCCACGCGUGCAUGCCUCUUCAGUUGUGUUGCAAGGCCUCGAUGGCCUUGUGCAUUAUGUGGGUUUUCUGUGCUGAAUACCUAAUCGAUGGCAUCGUAUGGAUCGAAGAAGCCCAUUUCCGUCGUGCGUCGCUCGUUUGACGCGCGAUGGACCCUCAGGCGGUCUCUGUCGUCCAUCUCGUUGAGGCAUGCGCAUUGACGACCUGGCCGACGGAGAAACGCUUGGUGUCUCGGAUACGGAACCUGAUGUGGGCAAGGGGUCUGUCAAGACCCGCAUCUGCCCUCGUCUAGCGUUCUCGCUUCUCUGAAACGACAGCCCAUGGUGUCUCGGCUUGUCCGUGCUCCAUGGGCUACGUCGACGA
rnacentral:misc_RNA from 1 species